rnacentral:lncRNA from 1 species
CUUAUUUUUUAAUAUAAGAUAAAGAGAUUGUCAGUUGAGCUCAAAAGUUUAUUAUAUGAAACACAUAUAUGGUUGAGCCGUGACAGUUAUCCUACAUUUGAAUUGAAUUCUUUGUGAUUAAAGAUUCUCUUUGUAAUUCUGUGAAGAUGAGACUCUACUUGUGACAGCAUCAAAGGGUUGGGUAAUGCACCCAAACCAAUUUUAAUUUUAACCCUACAUUAUAGAACCACUUGAUCAAUCUCUUGGAGCAUCCCAAAUAGAUACAUCAAUUGAUAUGUGAUUGACUUACUGUAGAAUUUCUCAAUUAAGGUAGCGUUUACUUUUUGGAUUGGAUUGGAAAUUUUGGGGAGUGGGAAUCCUAGGAUUGGGAGUGUGGAGUGGGAGUGAGAGUAGGUUGUUUACUUACACUGGAAUGGAAGCAUGGAAUGGAGAUCAGAAUCCAAUUUAUGUGUUUACUUUGUCUUGGAUUGGGAGUAAAUAGUUUCAAAUUAUAAUUUUAUCCUUAUUUAAAGAAUUAUAGU